GCUAGUGUGGCUUUAGUGGUUAGAGCGUCCUCUUCGGAUGCGGAUGAUCGCGGGUUAAAACCCCGACGAUUCAAACA